rnacentral:lncRNA from 1 species
AUGAAUUAUUAAUCAAUGAAUAAAAGUUAUUUUGACUUUUUCAUCAUAAGGUGAAUAUCUUCAUUAUCAAAACUCUUAUGUUGUGAUAAAGUCCUUAGAAUUAUAUUAUGAUUGAUAAAAGAGGAUUUAUUGAAUAGUUCUUAAAUAUAUUUAUGAUCAAAUGAUAUGUUAUUAAUAGGAUGAUGAUGUUUAUCUAGUGU